GCGCGUGUGGCGGAAUGGCAGACGCGCCGGCUUCAGGUGCCGGUGCCCGCAAGGGCGUGGAGGUUCAACUCCUCUCACGCGCA
rnacentral:tRNA from 4 species